rnacentral:misc_RNA from 1 species
GAUGAAGAACGUAGCGAAAUGCGAUACUUGGUGUGAAUUGCAGAAUCCCGUGAACCAUCGAGUCUUUGAACGCAAGUUGCGCCCGAAGUCUUUCAGACCGAGGGCACGUCUGCCUGGGCGUCACACACAGCGUCGCCCCCCACCAACCCGUUGGCUGGGGGACGGAAACUGGCCCCCCGAGCCCCCACGGGCACGGUCGGCACAAAUGUUGGUCCUCGGCGGCGAGCGUCGCGGUCAGCGGUGGUUGUACUCUCACCCCCCAAAGACAGAAACGACGCGUACGCCUCGCCGCACGCAGGCGUAACGAACCCAGAGAAGCUCUCCCCGGAGACUUCAACCUGCGACCCCAGGUCAGGCGGGAUUACCCGCUGAAUUUAAGCAUAUCAAUAAGCGGAGGA